AGUGAACGCUGGCGGUAGGCCUAACACAUGCAAGUCGAACGGCAGCACAGUAAGAGCUUGCUCUUACGGGUGGCGAGUGGCGGACGGGUGAGGAAUACAUCGGAAUCUACUUUUUCGUGGGGGAUAACGUAGGGAAACUUACGCUAAUACCGCAUACGACCUACGGGUGAAAGCAGGGGAUCUUCGGACCUUGCGCGAGUGAAGGAGCCGAUGUCGGAUUAGCUAGUUGGCGGGGUAAAGGCCCACCAAGGCGACGAUCCGUAGCUGGUCUGAGAGGAUGAUCAGCCACACUGGAACUGAGACACGGUCCAGACUCCUACGGGAGGCAGCAGUGGGGAAUAUUGGACAAAGGGCGCAAGCCUGAUCCAGCCAUACCGCGUGGGUGAAGAAGGCCUUCGGGUUGUAAAGCCCUUUUGUUGGGAAAGAAAAGCAGCAGGUUAAUACCCCGCUGUUCUGACGGUACCCAAAGAAUAAGCACCGGCUAACUUCGUG
rnacentral:rRNA from 1 species